GGAGGAAUGGCUGAGUGGCUGAAGGCACUGGUUUGCUAAAUCAGCGUACA
rnacentral:tRNA from 2 species